rnacentral:rRNA from 1 species
GACGAACGCUGGCGGCGUGCUUAACACAUGCAAGUCGAACGAUGAAGCCCAGCUUGCUGGGUGGAUUAGUGGCGAACGGGUGAGUAACACGUGAGUAACCUGCCCCUGACUUCGGGAUAACUGCGAGAAAUCGUGGCUAAUACCGGAUAUGCACAUGUGCCUGCAUGGGUGUGUGUGGAAAGAUUUAUCGGUUGGGGAUGGGCUCGCGGCCUAUCAGCUUGUUGGUGGGGUGAUGGCCUACCAAGGCGACGACGGGUAGCCGGCCUGAGAGGGUGACCGGCCACACUGGGACUGAGACACGGCCCAGACUCCUACGGGAGGCAGCAGUGGGGAAUAUUGCACAAUGGGCGCAAGCCUGAUGCAGCGACGCCGCGUGAGGGAUGACGGCCUUCGGGUUGUAAACCUCUUUCAGUAGGGAAGAAGCCUUCGGGUGACGGUACCUGCAGAAGAAGCGCCGGCUAACUACGUGCCAGCAGCCGCGGUAAUACGUAGGGCGCAAGCGUUGUCCGGAAUUAUUGGGCGUAAAGAGCUCGUAGGCGGUUUGUCGCGUCUGCUGUGAAAACGCAAGGCUUAACCUUGCGCCUGCAGUGGGUACGGGCAGACUAGAGUGCGGUAGGGGAGACUGGAAUUCCUGGUGUAGCGGUGGAAUGCGCAGAUAUCAGGAGGAACACCGAUGGCGAAGGCAGGUCUCUGGGCCGUUACUGACGCUGAGGAGCGAAAGCAUGGGGAGCGAACAGGAUUAGAUACCCUGGUAGUCCAUGCCGUAAACGUUGGGCACUAGGUGUGGGAUCCAUUCCACGGGUUCCGUGCCGCAGCUAACGCAUUAAGUGCCCCGCCUGGGGAGUACGGCCGCGAGGCUAAAACUCAAAGGAAUUGACGGGGGCCCGCACAAGCGGCGGAGCAUGCGGAUUAAUUCGAUGCAACGCGAAGAACCUUACCAAGGCUUGACAUACACCGGAAAAGUGCAGAGAUGUGCUCCCCGUAAGGUCGGUGUACAGGUGGUGCAUGGUUGUCGUCAGCUCGUGUCGUGAGAUGUUGGGUUAAGUCCCGCAACGAGCGCAACCCUUGUCCUGUGUUGCCAGCGGGUUAUGCCGGGGACUCAUGGGAGACUGCCGGGGUCAACUCGGAGGAAGGUGGGGAUGACGUCAAAUCAUCAUGCCCCUUAUGUCUUGGGCUUCACGCAUGCUACAAUGGCCGGUACAAAGGGCUGCGAUACCGCGAGGUGGAGCGAAUCCCAAAAAGCCGGUCUCAGUUCGGAUUGGGGUCUGCAACUCGACCCCAUGAAGUCGGAGUCGCUAGUAAUCGCAGAUCAGCAACGCUGCGGUGAAUACGUUCUCGGGCCU